rnacentral:rRNA from 1 species
AUGCUUAUGCGUCAAUUGAUAAUGGAAAAGAUAUGUGGGAUGCACUCGAGGCCAAGUUUGGGGUCUCGGAUGCUGGCACUGAGCUGUACAUCAUGGAGCAAUUCUAUGAUUACAGGAUCUGAAGAGCGCUCCGUGGUUGAGCAAGCUCAUGAGAUACAGUCAUUUGCUAGAGAACUUGAGCACCUCAGUUGUAUGCUACCGGACAAGUUUGUUGUCGGAGGUAUCAUCACUAAGCUUCCUCCUUCGUGGAGGAACUUUGCUACCUUACUGAAGCAUAAGAGACAGGAGUUUUCCGUCCCGGAUCUCAUUGGCACUCUUGAUGUGGAAGAAAAGGCGAGAGCAAAGGAUACACGUGCUCGAGGCAUUGAGGGAGGAUCUAGUGCCAAUCUGGUACAAAAGAAGAACUUCCAGCCCCACAAGUUCAAGAACAAGGGCAAGUUUGAUGGGAAGAACAUGGCUGUGCAGCACACGAACUUCAAGAAGAAGAAUGACAAGAAGAAAGGUGCUUGUCAUGUGUGUGGCGAUCCUAAUCAUUGA